UGCACUAUCCCCGACGAUAUAUACUUAAGCCUUCCUCAAGAAUCACUCUAUUGAUAGAUGAAAGUCGUAUGAAAAUCCGUUCAGUAGUUUUUCAAUUUGGAGUAGUUUUAUAAGAUGUAGUGAAUUGACGUUUUCACCUAGACUUGCGGGCACUAGGUUGCGUGACAGUCGUGCACGCUCCCAAUUAUUUCAAGUCAAGGUAUUCGUUUAUGCUAUAGAAAUUAUUAUUAUUGAGCCAUUGAUAUAAUUUUACUUUAAACAUUUCAAUAUUCAUGUCUUUCAUGUCAGCAGGCAAUUUAUUAUAGAUUUCUAUAGUCAUAAUCAAGCAGCUUUUUUUAUGCUUUGCCAAUCUUGGAUGUGUAUCGGGGAGCAAUGUUUCCGGGUUUCGGCAGGCGCGUGGAUGACUGUCACAGGCUUUCUUAAAUGUAUGUUUAUCUUAUACCUUUAUUACCUUUUGUAUAUUUAUAUAUAUAUUUCGGGGAUCUCGGAAACGGCUCUAACGAUUUCGAUGAAAUUUUCUAUAUGAAGGUUUUCGGGGGCGAAAAAUCGAUCUAGCUAGGUCUUAUCUCAGGGAAAACGCGCAUUUCUGAGUUUUUAUAUGUUUUCCGAGCAAAGCUCGGUUUCCCAGAUAUUGUUUUUAAACAAACAUACACACUUCGUAAAUGUAUAAAGAAUGAAGUGGUAGUAAACCUAGUUUUUUAAAUAGAGGUUUGCAAGUUUCGUCUGACCGCAUUCCGUGCAUAGCUCGAAUGAGCUUUUUUGUGCAAUGAAUGCUCUUUCUCGGUCAGUACUUCUAUUACACUAUUAUUAUUAAAAAUAUUGAUAGAGUGUCUGUAAAGGGGUCCACUGAUUAACAGUCCGUACGACGGUAUCGGCCUGUCAGUUAGAACAAAAAGUUUGACUGUUCCGAAUAACUGACAGGCCGAUAGCGUCCGGCGGACUGUUAAUCGUUGGGCCCCUUUAGAAUUAUCAGUUAGAAUUGGUCGGACUUCACUGCUCAAAAAACGUUGACGCAUCGUUGACACAGAACAAUGUAUAAUAAAAACGCAUCGCAUAACUUGUCACCUUUGCGCUGUUUGGUGUUUUAACCCCCGACGCAAAAAGAGGAUUGUUAUAUGUUUAGCGCCAAUGUCUGUCUGUCUGUAUGUCUGUGGCAUCGUAGCUCCCCAACGGAUGGACCGAUUUUGAUGCGGAUUUUACGUGAAAACGACUUUCCUUGCGGUAGUUCUUAGCUAUGUUUGAUAGAAAUCAAUCCAGCAGUUUAAAGAGUAUGAGUUUUUUUUUUCAAAUAUGGUAUUUUUGGCAAAUAGCGUAGGGGAUCCCCCCUAUUUUUAUAAUUUAAACAUUAUUUCUUCCAUGAGGAGGAAAUUUAACAGACAUUCAUUUUAUUUAAGUCGUACGAGAGAUGUGUGACUUUGGAAUCCAAUCACGAACAUUACUCUCAACUCGUCCAAAUAUCCAUCGGAAUAACCCUAAUACGUAUCACGCUAAAAUUAAAAUAAGGUUCCUUUGUUUCAGUUACAAAACGUCGUUCUUUAUAAAUGAGACUGUUAAAAUGCCCGAUAUAAAGAGCAAUGAUGGACCAAACUAUGCAAAGGAUUCGAAAACCUGUUUAGACAAGCUGCGGCGGUUUCAGUAUGGAUUCAGGAGUGUAAUAAGGACAUCAGUGCAGCACGAAGUGUGGACAGCCCGUCGGACGCUCGGAGUCGGCGUCGGCAUAUUCGUGGCGUUGUUGAUCGCGACGCCUGUACUUGUCCUCAUGCUACGGAACACUAUUACUACCAUGCAGGUAUGUUUUUUUUAAUGUAAUAGGCCGCAAACGAGCAGUCAUCGCCGCCCAUGGACAUAAGCAACAUCAGAAGAGCCACUUAUGCGUUACCAACCUUUGAGAACCCUAAAUACCUGCUUCUUGAAGAACCCCAUGUCAUAGCGCAAGGGAAACACCUCAGAAGGUAGCUCAUUCCACAACUUGCACGUUCUGGGCAAAAACGAGCAAGAUGCCCGCUUGUUCUUGGUUUGCCACGUGUCGAGAAAGUGAGGAUGAACUUUGUUUAUGUCAAUUAUGUUUUAAUUUAGAAGGAAACAUUGAUAAAAAGCGGCCAAGUGCGAGUCGGACUCGCCCAUGAAGGGUUCCGUACCAUUUAUGACGUAUUAAAAAAAACUACUAACUAGAUCUGGUUCAAACCAAUUUUCGGUGGAAGUUUGCAUGGUAAUGUAUAUCAUAUAUUUUUUUUUAGAUUUUUCAUUCUGUUAUUUUAGAAGUUACAGGGGGGGGGGACACAUUUUUUCACUUUGGAAGUGUCUCUCGCGCAAACUAUUCAGUUUAGAAAAAAAUGAUAUUAGAAACCUCAAUAUCAUUUUUAAAGACCUAUCCAUAGAUACCCCACACGUAUGGGUUUGAUGAAAAAAGAUUUUUUGAGUUUCAGUUCUGUAUGGGGAACCCCCAAAAUGUAUUGUUUUUUUUUCUAUUUUGUGUUAACAUCAUAAUGCGGUUCAUAGAAUACAUCUACUUACCAAGUUUGAACAGUAUAGCUUUUAUAGUUUCGGAAAAAAGUGGCUGUGACAGAAUCGGACAGACAGACGGACAUGACGAAUCUAUAAGGGUUCCGUUUUUUGCCAUUUGGCUACGGAACCCUAAAAAUGACAUCCACUAUGCAUCUGGUGAACUUCUGGUGAUCUCGCGAGUUCUUUGUAAAAAUUGAGACGCGCUUAGGUACUUUAUUUUACUUUGGUUACGCGGCUGAGUGGUAAGCAGAUCGGGACAUGCUCAAGGCACACUUUUGUUUACAAAUUAUUGCAAGCUAAGUACUUAUUAAUUUUGAACAGACGAUCUAGGGCAUCCGUUAUAUAUUGCCUAUCUGCAGUAUUUUAACUUUUUGAAUUUUUGACUAAGCUUUAGACGGUAUUUAUUUAAUGAGACUAUAGAAUUAAAUGAACAUAGAACAAUAAAUUAUAGAUAAGCUUAAAAAUAAUAAUAUUAACUAUAAAUAAACUUAAAAUAAAGGUCCUAUAAAAAAAACUCAUCCUCCAAGUCUCUGCCGAUGGGCAGUGUGUCCAGAAGGCACAAUACUGGCCAGCCGUUUGGUCAUCUGUGGCGUCUAAAGGGCGCGCCGCUAAGUCCUUGUACAGCCGGUGCACGCUUAGCCCCCACGUCCCAAGCGUUUCGACCCCAAAUGCGUAAAAAAUAUAACUCGGUAAUGUCAUAUAGGGUAAAAGAAACCUCAUUUAUUUUUCUCGGGGCAAGAUAAACAGUAUGAGGAUUUCCUACAAGAGCUUCUAUAUAUACCUUAUGCAUUACGCCACAUAAUUUUGUAACCAGUAAGUCCAAUUUACCAGAUAUUUUUGAGAAAAAAUAUACAUAUAUUUUCGUUGUAAUGACGCAGUUUCCUCACUAAUAUUUAAUAUUUUUACUAGACGUACAGUCAACCAAUUUGAAUCCUAGGCCACUAUAGAACCUUGUCGCUUUAACUACCUACUCUAUACAUGACAUGCAUCACUCAAUAAGCCCUGUCGUAGAAGUCAUUAUGACAUGGUUCUAUAGUGGCCUAGGAAUCAAAUUGGUUGACCGUACAUACAUAUUCAUAUUAUGUCUUUUAAUGUUUUCAUAAAAAUUAUCAUAAUGUAAAAACUGAUUCGCUUGUUUUCCUUUUAUGGUAUUAAAACGGUAGAAUGAAUAAAUGUGGGUAUUGAUACGAAUAAUUAUAGGCUGAUGUAUUAUACAAUUAGUCUUUAUGUGACAAAUCUCCAUGACGUUUGUAAUGACGUUAAGUGACUGACUUUCAUGGUGAUUGUACAUAAUGCAGAUUUUCCUAUGCGGUUGUAUGAUUAUUAAUAUUAUAAUAAACCGCUCCAUGGUACAUUUCUUUAAUAUUUUUUUGAGCUGUGACGCAAGCGAAUAUGUAAAUGGUUGGAAAUGUUAUUAAACAUUGUUGAACAAAUUUUAUUCGUUUUGUUCGUGUGAUAUUGUAACAAUGGACAGGCGUAUAGUGUUCUGGGUGCGCAGCCAACAUGCUGCUAAUCGUUUACGCUUCGUAAAGAACGAAUCGCAACUGUACUGUCACAUUAAUAUGAAAGAACGAUAGACACAAAGCGUUUCGUUGUAGUAGCACAAGCGAUUGUCACCUUUGCUAGACACUCUGAAACGAAUUAAAUUAGAUAAAGCCAGCACAUGUGGUAGCUAAUAUAAUAAAAUUAUAAGGCAAAGUCUGUCCAAUCAUCAAUUUUCAUUUAUCCAUUGUUGGAUUAAUCUAUAUCUGAGUACCUAUCUUAAAAUUUCUGUUGGAUUUAUAAUUCAUUGAAGAUAAUAUUAAACUCUAAUAGCAUAAUGAUACUGCAUGGGUCGUUCCUAUUUGCUUCAUGCAAACAAUGUUGGUUUCCUGGCAACCUCAAAUUUUGCAUUCGGGAAUCGAUUUGCCAGUACAGUUUGAGGCAAUUAUCUUGAAUGAAUCGUCAUCCUAAUCGGUCAUUCUCGACUGAGUGGAUGUGACUAUCGGUCAGUCUAUCCUUGAGUGAGUCAUUACUAUUGUGAAAACUACGUAAGAGGUCUUCAUACAGUCACGGUACUGUAAUAUGUUAGAGCAUUUCUCAAUAUAAGUAAUUAAUUUAAGGAAUUUGAUUUAUGUACUAUUUCGUACUCUGUCACCGUGGUUAUGGCUCUCUGUCUCUCUCUAUGUGUACAAAACACGAGAAUUUAAAGUAUUAUUAUGUCAGAAUUCCAUCUACAUAUUGAUAGAUAGAAAACUGUCGGUGGUCGGGCCUUCAGGGUUUCUUAGAGUAUCUUUUGAGUGUCAAGGUCUACGUUCGCUCCUCAAUGUACUUUAUGUACUCGAUGUUGAUUUUAAUAUAUGGACAACAUAACCUAGAUGAUAAUAUAAUAAUUGGGUAUCAUUGAGUAACCUAAUGAUUAAGCCCAAACUCGAUGGAUAUUCAUUACAAUCUGUCGAAUUUGGGCUUAUACGAAUUUGGCUAGUCCAAAAUGUUGGCGCACAUAGCACAGUCGGCAAUAUAAGUGUGUUUCAAUAAUUAUUUUUUUACCUGAAAGUCAACUUUAUUCCAUACUGACCAGCAACCCAGCCUAGGCUUUACUUAAUAGAAAACGUUGGUCAAAGGUGUAGUUUACCUGCUAACCUAUUCACUUUUCCUUGAAGGGAUUUAAGUGAUUCACAAACUGACAUCGCUAUCUGCCGCGGUGAGCUGAGUUACAUAUGAAUCGUCCUGCGAGCUGCGUUCUCACUGUAUUGUACCGUUACGAGUACAUAUUACAUGCUUAUGUAUAUGCAUACUUUUGUUAAGAGAAGGCGAAAAGCCAGAAAAUUACGAGUAGAAGGAAACAACAGAUAUGGCGCGCUGCGUGAAACUUGUGAUGGAAAAUUUACUAAGUACCUCUACUUUGAUUACUUUAAAAAUAUAUGUACUUGUGUUUAAAUUUUUGCUUGUCAAUUUCCUUGGCCAAGAAAUGUAUCUUGGCUAUUUUAUAUUAACAUCAUAUUGCUAUAGUAUGCAGCGUAACGAUAUAAAACUGAAAAUAUAUUUAUAUGUUUUCGUGUUAUUUUCUAUCGAGCCAAACUUUAAUAUUUUAAGGUUUUGUUCGGAGCUUGCCCUUGCGAAUAUUAUCUUGUUUCCGUUUGCAUUUUUUCCUUAAUAUAAAAACUAAAAUUUUGCAUUAAUCAAUUGCUUCUCUCAUGGUUGAUCAAGCACGUGUCAGAUUUAUCAAGAAAAACAGAUUAUGGGAGCAUCCAUUGGAACGAAAAGAAUGGAAUAGGCUUAAUUAAAAAUCUAUCAAUCUAUUUAUUUAAAACAUGAAAGAUUUCUAAUAUUGAUAUGGUCACUAUAAGAUGUCGAUGAUGGCCACUAUAAGCUAAUUACGUUAUAACUUAAGACAGAAGGUACCUUAAGGACUAAAUAAAUUAACCGACUUGGUAUUACAUGGAACUCGCAACUUUUUAUAUACGGUAGAAGAACUGAGUUACGAGAUUUGUUUUUUUACAAGUUAUGCUUUUGAUGGCAUAUGUUUUUACCGUAUUUUUCUUACUUAAAUGUUACGUUUCUGAAUAAAUUAAUGUGUCAAAGAUCCAAAAAAAUACAUUAGUCAUAGGGACCAUCAUUCGAAGCGACAUGUGUAGGGUUCGGCAAACUUUAGAAGAGGAGAGCAAACCACAGUAGAUAUCAUCAGUUAUAGGAAUAUUAAACAGCCACAAAGGUUGAUUU